UUCUAAAUUUAUAGUAGAAUUUUAUUUUUUAGUCAAAAAGCUAAAAUAAUAUUAAAAGACGAGAAGACCCUAUAAAUCUUUAUAUAUAAAUUGUUGGAAUUUUGUAGAUUUUUUUUAUUACAAUAGUUGAUUAUAUUUUAUUGGGGUGAUAUUAAAAUUUAAUAAACUUUUAAUUUUUUCUUAUCAUUAAUUUAUGAAUAAUUGAUCCGUUAAUAGCGAUUAAAAAAAUAAGUUACCUUAGGGAUAACAG
rnacentral:rRNA from 1 species